CCCCCCCCCCCCCCUCCACCUGGACAGCAGCAGCAGUAAUAUUCAGCCCACGGGGAGGGCCUCAUGGCUUGUGUGACCACCACCACCAGGCGGGUCAAGCUUGGUGUGUGAAAACUUCUAGGCCUCUCGACGUAUCUGCCAUCUAUGACGGAACACACAGAACUAUAAAGACUAUUUGGUAGACAGGAAAAAUAGAAAAAUAUCUCUCCUUACACAUUUGGCCCAGAUGUUUUACUGCGUGUCAAGACAUUUGUGGGUGCCGCUGUCCCCAUAGCUGUUGCUGUAAAAUAUUGUAAUAUCAGAUUAUGUGUUCAAGAGUACGGAAAUUAUUUUUUUACUCCUUUUAUCAGGAAAAAUGGAGAUUUGAAGGCUUUUGGGAAGAGGGCAGGGGUACCUAAAAAUGGAUAUGGCUGAUUUAAAUCAAAGUCACUUUAAUAACCCCUAGGACACAUUUUAAACACCUCAUAUCCAGUGAAUGGUUCAUAAAAAAUAGCAACAUAUUUUUCAUCAAGAAUAACUAUUC